GAUCCUGGCUCAGGACGAACGCUGGCGGCGCGCCUAACACAUGCAAGUCGAACGGAGUUAAGAGAAGCUUGCUUUUCUUGACUUAGUGGCGAACGGGUGAGUAACGCGUGAGUAACCUGCCCUGGAGUGGGGGACAACAGUUGGAAACGACUGCUAAUACCGCAUGACGCAUAGGGGUCGCAUGAUCUUUAUGCCAAAGAUUUAUCGCUUCAAGAUGGCCUCGCGUCUGAUUAG
rnacentral:rRNA from 1 species